rnacentral:rRNA from 1 species
UCAAUAAGCUGUGUAGCAUCUAGGCACCUCUUGCACUGUUCGAGUUGUAAUUUGAAGAAGGUAUCUUUGGAGUUGGCCCCCGUCUAUGUUCCUUGGAACAGGACGUCACAGAGGGUGAGAAUCCCGUGCGAUGGGGAGACCAAUUCUAUGUAAAGUUCCUUCGAAGAGUCGAGUUGUUUGGGAAUGCAGCUCUAAGUGGGUGGUAAAUUCCAUCUAAAGCUAAAUAUUGGCGAGAGACCGAUAGCGAACAAGUACAGUGAUGGAAAGAUGAAAAGAACUUUGAAAAGAGAGUGAAAAAGUACGUGAAAUUGUUGAAAGGGAAGGGCUUUUGAUCAGACUUGGUGUUUAGUACUCUCUACUCCUUGUGGGUGGGGCUCUUGCUUUAUACUGGGCCAGCAUCGGUUUGGAUGGUAGGAUAAUAGCAUUGGAAUGUGGCUUCAUUCGUGAAGUGUUAUAGCCCUUGUUGAUACUACCUAUCUAGACCGAGGACUGCGUCUUUUGACUAGGAUGCUGGCGUAAUGAUUAAAAGCC